rnacentral:rRNA from 1 species
CGAAGCUGCACUACUUAGCUGGCCGACGGGUGAGUAACAUGUAGGUAUCUACCCUUUGGCCUGGAAUAACACGAGGAAACUUGUGCUAACUACCGGAUAAGUCUUUACGGAGAAAGCUUUAUGCACCAUUGGAUGAGCCUGCACUUGAUUAGUUUGUUGGUGGGGUAAUGGCCUACCAAGACUGUGAUCAAUAGCUGAUUUGAGAGGAUGAUCAGCCACAUUGGGACUGAGACACGGCCCAAACUCCUACGGGAGGCAGCAGUGGGGAACUCUUGCACAAUGGAGGAAACUCUGAUGCAGCGAUGCCGCGCUGAGUGACGAAGGCCCUUGGGUUGUAAAGCUCUUUCGUCGGGGAAGAAAAUGACUGUACCCGAAUAAGAAGGUCCGGCUAACUUCGUGCCAGCAGCCGCGGCUAAUACCAAGGGACCUAGCGUAGUUCGGAAUUACCUGGGCUUACAGAGCUCGCUACGUGGUUGACAACAAGUCAGCGGUGAAAUCCCAGCAGCUUAACUCUGGAACUGCCAUUAAACACCUUUCAGCCUACAGUAUGAUACACGAAAGCAGAAUUUCUAGUGUAGAGGUGAACACUCGUAGAUAUAGACAGAAUACCGAUUGCGAAGGCCGGUCUCUGGAUCAUUACUGACACUGAGACGAACACUGGUCCGACAAGAUAGAUACCCUGUACACAGCCGUAACGAGUGUGUAACGUG